rnacentral:rRNA from 1 species
AGUCGAACGAACCCUUCGGGGUUAGUGGCGGACGGGUGAGUAACACGUGGGAACGUGCCUUUUGGUUCGGAACAACUCAGGGAAACUUGAGCUAAUACCGAAUGUGCCCUUCGGGGGAAAGAUUUAUCGCCAUUAGAGCGGCCCGCGUCUGAUUAGCUAGUUGGUGAGGUAAAGGCUCACCAAGGCUACGAUCAGUAGCUGGUCUGAGAGGAUGAUCAGCCACACUGGGACUGAGACACGGCCCAGACUCCUACGGGAGGCAGCAGUUAGGAAUCUUGCGCAAUGGGCGAAAGCCUGACGCAGCCAUGCCGCGUGAAUGAUGAAGGUCUUAGGAUUGUAAAAUUCUUUCAGCGGGGACGAUAAUGACGGUACCCGCAGAAGAAGCUCCGGCUAACUUCGUGCCAGCAGCCGCGGUAAUACGAAGGGGGCUAGCGUUGCUCGGAAUUACUGGGCGUAAAGGGCGCGUAGGCGGACAGCUUAGUCAGAGGUGAAAGCCCAGGGCUCAACCUUGGAACUGCCUUUGAUACUGGCUGUCUUGAGUUCGGGAGAGGUGUGUGGAACUCCGAGUGUAGAGGUGAAAUUCGUAGAUAUUCGGAAGAACACCAGUGGCGAAGGCGACACACUGGCCCGAUACUGACGCUGAGGCGCGAAAGCGUGGGGAGCAAACAGGAUUAGAUACCCUG